GCGGAGACGCAUGUUUCCGUUCACUCCUCACACCACACUCCGCCCGAACUACUGUUCGGGCGGUU
rnacentral:sRNA from 1 species